rnacentral:lncRNA from 1 species
AACAGAAGACGGAGCUGAAAGGUACUGUAGACUCUAUUCAUAGCAAGGUGGAGGUGGUACAAAGGGAUGAAAGGUAAUGUAGUCUCUAUUCAUAGCAAGGUGGAGGUGGUACAAAGGGAUGAAAGGUAAUGUAGUCUCUAUUCAUAGCAAGGUGGAGGUGGUACAAAGGGAUGAAAGGUACUGUAGUCUCUAUUCAUAGCAAGGUGGAGGUGGUACAAAGGGAUGAAAGUUACUGUAGUCUCUAUUCAUAGCAAGGUGGAGGUGGUGCAAAGGGAUGAAAGGUAAUGUAGUCUCUAUUCAUAGCAAGGUGGAGGUGGUGCAAAGGGAUGAAAGGUACUGUAGUCUCUAUUCAUAGCAAGGUGGAGGUGGUGCAAAGGGAUGAAAGGUACUGUAGUCUCUAUUCAUAGCAAGGUGGAGGUGGUGCCAAG